CGUGAGAUGUUGGGUUAAGUCCCGCAACGAGCGCAACCCCUAUCCUUUGUUGCCAGCACGCAAUGGUGGGAACUCAAAGGAGACUGCCGCGGACAACGCGGAGGAAGGCGGGGAUGACGUCAAGUCAUCAUGCCCCUUAUGUCCUGGGCUACACACGUACUACAAUGGGAUGGACAGAGAGCAGCGAAGCCGCGAGGCCAAGCGAACCCCAUAAACCAUCUCCCAGUUCGGAUUGCAGGCUGCAACCCGCCUGCAUGAAGUCGGAACUCGCUAGUAAUCG
rnacentral:rRNA from 1 species